rnacentral:ncRNA from 1 species
UAACUUUGUUUUUGAUAGAUGGAAUGAUAGGUACACGUCACCUUGAAACAUCUACACUGAUACUCCUACAUGCGUCUAUAAAUGUUAGUUUAUAGGGGUCUGAAGCUAGGUAAAGACGGGUGAAGGUUGCCUAAGUAAAGCUAACACAGGAUAUAAGGUAACCGAUAGUUCGGGUGGCUAUAAA